rnacentral:rRNA from 1 species
AAACUCAAAUGAAUUGACGGGACCCGCACAAGCAGCGGAGCGUGUGGUUUAAUUCGUUGCUACACGAAGAACCUUACCUGGGUUUGACAUAUAGGUUGUAGGGAACUGAAAAGGGACCGACCUUCGGGGAGCCUAUACAGGUGUUGCAUGGCUGUCGUCAGCUCGUGUCGUGAGAUGUUCGGUUAAGUCCGCUAACGAGCGCAACCCUCGUCGUAUGUUAUAUGUGUCAUACGAGACUGCCGGUAAAAAGCCGGAGGAAGGUGAGGAUGAUGUCAAGUCAGCAUGACCUUUAUAUCCUGGGCUACACACACGCUACAAUGGCCAACACAAUAGGUUGCUAAGCCGCGAGGUGGCGCCAAUCCAUAAAGUUGGUCUCAGUUCAGAUUGUAGGCUGCAACCCGCCUGCAUGAAGAUGGAGUUGCUAGUAACCGCAGGUCAGCUAUACUGCGGUGAAUACGUUCCCGGGUCUU